CUUAGUGGCGGGGAUUAACGCGUAAUCAACCUGCCCUUCAGAGGGGGACAACAGUUGGAAACGACUGCUAAGCCCCGAUGUACCGAAAGGGAAAAUAUUUAUAGCCUGAAGAUGAGCUCGCGUCCGAUUAGCUAGUUGGCGGAGUAAAAGCCCACCAAGGCGACGAUCGGUAGCUGGUCUGAGAGGACGAUCAGCCACACUGGGACUGAGA
rnacentral:rRNA from 1 species